GGGGAAGGUCCGGGCAGGGGGAGAGGCGCGAAAGCCCGCGGCGGAGCCCUGCGCACUGAGGUGAAGUGGGGCGAGGCGGGGCGGGCGCUGGCUGAGGCGGCCGGGGCAGCCCCGCGAAGCGAGGGGAGCGAGUCACCCUGCCCGACACAGGCCGAGAGACGGGCCGGUCGCCCUAAGAAGGGCGCACGUUAGCGCUCCUUACAGCGAGUGAGGCUAUCGCAAAGAAUCGGGCAAUUACAUUUUUAGAAAUGGUUUUGUUUAACAGCGUGCGUGCUGACAGGAGCACCCUGUGUGUUGCUGGCACAUCUCACAGCUGCAGCAUCAACCAGAUUAACCUGCGCUCAGGAAAAAAAUGUAUUAAGCUGCACUGAUUUUAUUUGGUGAAAUUUGACAGUGAUAUCAGUGGCAACGAUGACUGAGGAUACAAGAGAAGCUGGAAUCUGAUACUGUGGCUUGCUAUGGUGAAGGGCUGAACUCAUGUAUUACACCUGAAGAGUGAUAUUCUGCUGUUGUAUUUCAUGGUCAAAAUUAGCUCCUAUAAAGCUAUUGCCUAUAAAGUGGACAUACGAUAAUUACUUUGUUUUUUAAAAGUGUUUAUUUCAAGCUACUUUGCUGUUAAUUUUGUGUUGCUCUUAUUGUUAAAAGUGCAAGAAGAAAGGAGAAAUCCUUCAGCCUCUGGCAGAAUAACCUUGAACUGGUUAAGAGAACGUAGAUGCACCUCUACUUGCACAACAUACUACAAAUGCAGUGAAGUAGCAUCUGUAUUUACAAAUGCAUAGCAAAACAUUGCAUACUUCAAACAUAUGCGAGAAUCAUGACCAAACCUCCUAAAGAUGAGGCUGGAAGUAUUAUGAAGCAUUCUUCCAAAUGUCUUCUGGUAAUAAUAUUUGGUUGCACAAUUCAGGUCUCUGUGUUCAUUGGAUUCGGGUACAGUCUGAACAUUUUUACAUCAAAACCGUCUCCUGAAAUGCGCAUCUUUGUGAUGACACUAAAAAACAGUCUAACCAUUCUUCAGUGGAGAUGAUAGAUUAAAUUACGUUCAUGAAGGUUGUCAAUGAUUGUAGUUCCUAAUCUUUAGUGCCUGAUUGCUGUAACAAAAUCUGUAGUCUAAAAUGAAAUACAGAGGAUCUGUAUACCAUAAGAGAGGGAGUACCUCAGAUCUAUGACAGGUGAUGUGUUAAAUGAGAAGUGAUGUUAGGUCAUCACUGUGAAAUGCUGAGGACCAGGUUAGUCUUAAAAUUCUAGGGAUUUGUUACCUUAACCCAGAUUGAAGGUGGUAAAUUUUCCUGAACAAUCCGUUUGAAUGAGGUAUCAGAGAUCUUUCAGGAAAUGGGUAGGGUGAAUACUUUAUUUCAGAAGACAUCUGGAAGUGGUUGUGCUGUUGAACUGCUUUAUUGCUCUGUGCUCAGAGUUGUCAUUCUAAAUGUGGAAACUUGGGCUGAAUGCCGCUCCCCCCCCCUUUUUUUUUUCAGGGCUUUACACCCAACUAUCUGAAAAGGGAGACACAGUUUCUAGUAUCAAUUCCAGGUAAUGUUCUCUCGGGAGAAUGAGCUGAAAUGGGUAGCACAUGUGCUACACACAGUAUGUCAAUUCUUGCAAAAACAAAGUCCAUGAAGUGGUAUGAGGUGAAUGCACACCUUAAUUUGCAGCUCUGGCCUAUCAGGAGCUCGAAACCUUUAUUUUAAUUGCCCACAUCUCCUGCAGUUGGUGCCAAACCUCACUGCCCCUCAUCUCCUUCCACAAGCAUUCCUCCACACUGUGCAGCUGGGGAACCAGUUUGGGCUUUUGCUGUCCCUAGCUGCAGAAUUCU